rnacentral:tRNA from 1 species
GCCCAAGUGGCGGAAUGGCAGACGCAAAGGACUUAAAAUCCUUCGGAGGAAACUCCGUGCCGGUUCGAGUCCGGCCUUGGGCA